rnacentral:rRNA from 1 species
AGCAGUAGCCGCGGGAAUACGUAGGUGGCAAGCGUUGUCCGGAAUUAUUGGGCGUAAAGGGCUCGCAGGCGGUUUCUUAAGUCUGAUGUGAAAGCCCCCGGCUCAACCGGGGAGGGUCAUUGGAAACUGGGAAACUCGAGUGCAGAAGAGGAGAGUGGAAUUCCACGUGUAGCGGUGAAAUGCGUAGAGAUGUGGAGGAGCACCAGUGGCGAAGGCGACUCUCUGGUCUGUAACUGACGCUGAGGAGCGAAAGCGUGGGGAGCGAACAGGAUUAGAUACCCCCGUAGUCCCUGUCUCUUAUAC